AACGAACGCUGGCGGCAUGCCUAACACAUGCAAGUCGAACGAGACCUUCGGGUCUAGUUGCGCACGUGUGCGUAACGCGUGGGAACCUGCCCUUAGGUUCGGAAUAACUCCCCGAAAGGGGUGCUAAUACCGGAUAAUGUCUUCGGACCAAAGAUUUAUCGCCUUUGGAUGGGCCCGCGUUGGAUUAGCUAGUUGGUAGGGUAAAAGCCUACCAAGGCGACGAUCCAUAGCUGGUCUGAGAGGAUGAUCAGCCACACUGGGACUGAGACACGGCCCAGACUCCUACGGGAGGAAGCAGUGGGGAAUAUUGGACAAUGGGCGAAAGCCUGAUCCAGCAAUGCCGCGUGAGUGAUGAAGGCCUUAGGGUUGUAAAGCUCUUUUACCCGGGAUGAUAAUGACAGUACCGGGAGAAUAAGCUGCGGCUAACUCCGUG
rnacentral:rRNA from 1 species